GGCGGACGGGUGAGGAAUACAUCGGAAUCUACUCUGUCGUGGGGGAUAACGUAGGGAAACUUACGCUAAUACCGCAUACGACCUACGGGUNAAAGCAGGGAUCUUCGGACCUUGCGCGAUUGAAUGAGCCGAUGUCGGAUUAGCUAGUUGGCGGGGUAAAGGCCCACCAAGGCGACAAUCCGUAGCUGGUCUGAGAGGAUGAUCAGCCACACUGGAACUGAGACACGGUCCAGACUCCUACGGGAGGCAGCAGAC
rnacentral:rRNA from 1 species